CCUACGGGUGGCUGCAGUGGGGAAUAUUGGACAAUGGGGGGAACCCUGAUCCAGCCAUGCCGCGUGUGUGAAGAAGGCCCUCGGGUUGUAAAGCACUUUCAGUGAGGAAGAACGCCUGGUGGUUAAUACCCAUCAGGAAAGACAUCACUCACAGAAGAAGCACCGGCUAACUCCGUGCCAGCAGCCGCGGUAAUACGGAGGGUGGCGAGCGUUAAUCGGAAUUACUGGGCGUAAAGCGCGCGUAGGUGGCUUGAUAAGCCGGUUGUGAAAGCCCCGGGCUCAACCUGGGAACGGCAUCCGGAACUGUCAAGCUAGAGUGCAGGAGAGGAAGGUAGAAUUCCCGGUGUAGCGGUGAAAUGCGUAGAGAUCGGGAGGAAUACCAGUGGCGAAGGCGGCCUUCUGGACUGACACUGACACUGAGGUGCGAAAGCGUGGGUAGCAAACAGGAUUAGAUACCCCGGUAGUC
rnacentral:rRNA from 1 species